rnacentral:rRNA from 1 species
CCUACGGGUGGCAGCAGUAGGGAAUAUUGCUCAAUGGGCGAAAGCCUGAAGCAGCAACGCCGCGUGAAGGAUGAGCGCUUUCGGGUUUUAAACUCUUUUUGUUAGGGCGAUUAAUGACGGUACCUACUGAAUCAUCACCGUCUCACUCCGUUCCAGCACCCGCGGUAAUACGGAGGGUGCAAGCGUUAACCGGAAUCACUGGGCGUAAAGAGGGCGUAGGCGGGAUAGCAAGUCAGUUGUGAAAUCCUAAGGCUCAACCUUAGAAUGGCAGUUGAAACUGGCAUACUGGAGUUGGGUAGAGGUAGGGGGAAUUCUUGGUGUAGCGGUAAAAUGCUUAGAUAUCAAGAGGAACACCGAUUGCGAAGGCGCUUUACUGGACCGUAACUGACGCUGAGGAGCGAAAGCGUGGGUAGCAAACAGGAUUAGAUACCCGGGUAGUC